UGGAGGACAAAUGAUGGUAUAGUGAAAAGAUUGGGCGAGGCCCGAUAUAUAUCUGAUUUCAGACGAAAUCUUGUCUCACUGAGUAGACUGGAUUCGAGAGGCUACUGGAUGGUAGCUGAUAGAGAAAUUUUGAAGGUAUUGCACGGUGAUAGGAUUAUUCUGAAGGAGAAGAAGAACAUGAAAGGACAUUACUACUUGACG
rnacentral:lncRNA from 1 species